AGAAAAUGACAGACAGAGUCACAACAAAACCAAACAGCAACGCAAGACAGCACUCCACAGGUACUCCGUACCAACGAGGAGAUCACAGCAGAAACCAGCUAUAGAAAGUAAUCUUAAUCGUCAUAGAAGAAAACAAAACAAGAAACACAAAACAUCCUCAAAAUGCAAAACCCAGGAACAACAACAACAUCAUCAACAACAACACAAUCACAAUGUUCUUCACUUUCAUCAUUUCUUACAACAACCUUAUUCAGAGACCCAAAACCAAUCUUAUACACUUUCCUACUCAUCUCUCUCUUCUCAAUCAUCCUAAUCCUCUCUCUCACUUCUUCUUCACUUUCUUCAACCCAUACCCGACCCGAUCCAUUUCUCUACCCGGCCCAUCAAACC
rnacentral:lncRNA from 1 species